CCUACGGGAGGCAGCAGUGGGGAAUAUUGCUCAAUGGGGGGAACCCUGAAGCAGCAACGCCGCGUGGAGGAUGAAGGUUUUCGGAUUGUAAACUCCUUUUGUUCGGGAAGAAAAUGACGGUAUCUGACCCAUAAGCACCGGCUAACUCAGUGCCAGCAGCCGCGGUAAUACGGAGGGUGCAAGCGUUACGCGGAUUAACGGGGCGUAAAGAGAGCGUAGGCGGGAUAGCAAGUCAGAUGGGAAAUCCGAGGGCUUAACCCUAGAACUGCAGUUGAAACUGUUAUUCUAGAGUAUGGGAGAGGUAGGUGGAAGGCGUGGUGUAGGGGUGAAAUGCGUAGAUAUCAAGAGGAACACUGAUUGCGAAGGCGACCUGCUAGAACGUAACUGACGCUGAGGCGCGAAAGCGUGGGGAGCAAACAGGAUUAGAUACCCGGGUAGUC
rnacentral:rRNA from 1 species